UGGGGAAUAUUGCACAAUGGGCGCAAGCCUGAUGCAGCCAUGCCGCGUGUAUGAAGAAGGCCUUAGGGUUGUAAAGUACUUUCAGUCGGGAGGAAGGCGUUGAUAUUAAUACUAUCAGCGAUUGACGUUACCGACAGAAGAAGCACCGGCUAACUCCGUGCCAGCAGCCGCGGUAAUACGGGGGGUGCAAGCGUUAAUCGGAAUUACUGGGCGUAAAGCGCACGCAGGCGGUUGAUUAAGUUAGAUGUGAAAUCCCCGGGCUUAACCUGGGAAUGGCAUCUAAAACUGGUCAGCUAGAGUCUUGUAGAGGGGGGUAGAAUUCCAUGUGUAGCGGUGAAAUGCGUAGAGAUGUGGAGGAAUACCGGUGGCGAAGGCGGCCCCCUGGACAAAGACUGACGCUCAGGUGCGAAAGCGUGGGGAGCAAACAGG
rnacentral:rRNA from 1 species